AGCCCCCGAGAGCAACAGGCCAUGCUGCCUGGGCCUGGCUAGCACCCGGACCAGGCGGGCCACAUGCUGGGCCAUCGAGCGGCACCGGGCCAGGUGGGGGCUCAGCUUCAGCUGGGCAGCUGACGUGGCCAGCUGCUCCUCCAGGCUCACCCACUGCCGUUCCAGGUACAGGUUGGAGCUCUCCGAGCUGGACCGCAGUGUCAGUUCCUGACUGAAGACCAGGUCUGAGGGAUUUUCCUGGGGGCAGAGCAGUAGCACCGGGAGCAACAGGGGGGAGAUCAUGUCUACCUGGCUUGUCUUCUGCCACCAGUUCUUGGCUCUGUUAUUCAGCUGGAGUUUGCAGCUGGAGGUCCUUGUGCCUUCCUCCUGGCUUAUCUUCUGACUUAGGCUCCCUGUGGCCACCCUCUUUACUGGUGCUCUGGACGGCGCUGAAUCAUUGGACACGGAGCCUGUGCAGACCUGCAGGCCGUACGGGUCCUCGUCCUCCUCGGUCUCACUGCCGCUGUUGCUCAGGUUCCCCCACUGGGCCAGCUCCCCUUCGGACUCCACUCCAGGCACCUGCUCUUCCCCCUCCUCCUCCUCGUAGCCCUUGCCCAGGCUCGGGGGCGCUGGCCCACAGCAGAAAACAUUCUGAGCUACGUCUAGGAGCAGGUUGGCACAGAAGGAGCGUUCCCCGGGGCUGCCCAACUGGUCACAAAAGGUUCUCUGUGCCUCAUGCAACCAAAGACGCACUAUGUUGCACGUGGCCAUCGUGACUGCCAGGCGGGUGCCGCAUAGGCCGGAUACCCGGCGCAGGUGCUCCUGGUGGUUGGGACAAUCCACAAAAGCCCGGGAGCCCACCCUGCUGGGCAGCAGCUGCAGGCUGCCUAGCAGCUGGCUUACAGAGUGCAGGGAGAAGCGGUAGUGUGGGCGGAGGGGUGAGGGCAGAAAGCACUUGCGCACCGCCUCCCAGGCCUCCACCGACGCCUGGACCAGGGCUCUUGCUAGAACACUCUCCCGCUCCACAGAGGGGAAGCUUUCGAGCCAGGCCUGGAUGCUGGGCACGUGCCUGCUCAGCAGCGUGGCCAGGGUCACGCUGCCCAGGGCCAGCACGGUGAAGAGCCGAGAGAGGCGUGGGCAAAGCGGGAGCUCGCAGAAGCCUGGCACUGUGGCAGUGGCAAGGAAGUUGACUAUAGGCUGCAGCGUCUGCACUUCCAAGGUGCUGUGGGCGUACACGGUGCCAUCUAGGGCCUGGCGCAGAGUCUCCAACACUGGCUGACAGCUCUUCUCUGGGUCUGUGGGCCGUGAAGAAUAACAGAGAGAACAGGCGUAAGUCCGCAUGACAGUGUCACCCCACUCUUCCUCUCCCUGCCUCACUGGGUCUGCUCCUGGCACACACGGGGUUCUAAGGAAUUUUAUGCAUCUGGUGUGUUGGGACUUGGUAAGUUCUUCUCUCUCCCUUGCACUCUCCUUAGGAGUGAGUGACUUUUUUCCCCCUCUUCUGCCCCAAAUCCUACCUCUAAGACUAAUUACAUAUCCCUUAACUGAAGGUUAAUGAGUAGGACGGUUUGGAAACCGAGACUGGUGGAAACAUGCUCAGCGUGGGAUGGAAGAGGCAGGCUAGUAAACGUACAGUCAUAAAACCAUAUUUGUCAUAGAUUUUGUACAGAGCACAGGACGAGGCCCAGACUUCCUGGAGGAGAUACUGCCUGAGAUUAUUUGUAAAGAAUAAGUAGGAUUUAGCUAGAUAAACGCAGGAGAGAAGGCCGAGAGGAUGGCGAUCCCAGAGGCUAGAGGAAGCCUAACUUAUUGGAUGCCUGCGUUACAAAGUCGAAUCCAGUUAGAGGACAGAGCAUAAAAAUCUACAGAAGAAAGACUCAUCACAAGAAACCUUGAAGAGCAUUUGCCAGAGCUCCCGGUAAUGACUGCCUGAACCAGGGAAGAUGGAAUGGAAAUAGGUGGAGAGGUUUGAGAGAUACUUGGGAGGCAAAAUUAAGACACAUGGUGACUGGAUAUUGGUGAGGGAGGGGAAGAUGUCAACAAGAUUUCUGGCUACAGGGACUGGAUGGAUGGUGGUACCAGGUACUGAGAGGGCACAUGGGAGCAGGGUUUUGGGGGAGAAUGAUGAGUUCAGAGUUGGAUCUGUGGUGUCAGUGGGACAACCAGGUAGAGAUACAUAGCAGACUGUUAGAUAAACAGAUCUGGUGCUUAGAAGAGGGUCUUGGAGAUGGAGAUUUAGCAGUCAGAGCAUAGAGAUGGUGGAUGAGGCCAUGCAAAGGACAGGAUUAUUCAGGGAGCGUACGUAGACUGAGAAGAUAUUAAGAAUGGAACACUGAAGUUUGGUCUGUAGGUAUAUGUUUGAGAGUCGAAUAUUGCUAGGGCUUUUCCAGUCUCAAGAGACGACAAUGACACCUUCCCUCCUCCCAGCUCCUCACCAGAAGCAGCCAGGUGCAGAUCUUCCAGCAGGAAGAGGAGAAAGCCUUUGGAAUCCACGUGCCGCCCAGGCCACAGGCUGGCUUGUGAUUGGCCCUGGACCCCCCGGCUCAGCAGGAGGCGAAGGUGUGGGUCAAGCAGACAACGCAAGAUGCGGGCCAAGCUGGUGACUUCAGCCACACCUGGGCAAACGGCCUGCUGCCCAUGUACCUGCAGCAGGGAGCUGGCACCCUGGCAGGUGAGGAAUCGGAAUGUUGCAGGCACCAGCACUUCUGCCAGGUGGUUGAGUUCAGUGACAGUCUGGAGCUGCAGGUGGUACUCCUGGGGCAGGGCUGCCAUCAGGACGCUCAGCAUACCCUGCCAAGUCUGCUCCCCACGGCACCAGACUAGGGCACAACGGCCCACCACUGUGGGAGACAUGUCUGUUGCAUCUCCCACCUCCAUCAAAAGAAAAGUACCUGGGGGUCGUGCUAUUUGCUGACCAUUGGGGAGGCUAAGCUGCGGGGGGUCACCCAGGAGGCAAGUGAUGGAGUCCAGCCAAGCACCACCGGAAGCCCCAUCACAUAUUAUCCAGUGAUGAAUCCCCACUGAUUCCUGCACCUGCCCCCUUGGGCCCACAGUCUUACACCGACUGGCUUCACGAAGCAGCCUGGGGAAGACACCAUGGUGCCAGCAGGGGCCCUCCAGCCAUCCCAGGAACUCCUGGGGGCUGAGGACACUGGGAUACAGGUGAGUAAUUUCCACAGGCUGGCAGCAGCUCUGGGUCGAGGGGUCCUGCAUGGCUGCCAACCAAUUCUGGAUCUUAAAUAAGCUGCGCCAACAUGUGGUCUUGCCACUGCCUGCGGGGCCCAGGAGCAAGACACCUGAGGCCUGGCCCAGGGCCUGACUCAGCUGCUCCAGGGACCCCAAAAUAUCAGGGCUGGGAUGCAGGCCUCCUUGCUGCAACUCCUCCACCAGCAGUGAAUUCCUCAGCCUGGGGGCUAUAGGCUCUGCCAGCACCUCGCUGGCGGUAGGGAAGAGCCCACAGAGCAGCUUUUGGAGGUUGCGCAGGUGGACCCCAUCCAGGAUGCUGAACAGUGGGGAGCGCAGCAGGGCACGCAGUAGGGCGGCCUCCUCGGUGGCGGCUAGGCUGCAGGGCUGCUCGGACUCGGGAUCCUCCUUGGUCACGUUUAGAGCCUGUAUCAUGUCUUCCAGCACCUUCUUGAGCAGGGGCAAGCGGCAGGGCAGGGGCCCAGACACCAGCUCACACUCAAGGGAGAAGAAUUUGGAUAGGCGGGUAGCCAUGCGGGAGGCGUCCCGUAUCCCCGCACCCAGCAGGGUCAGCUCUGCCACUUGCCGCAGGUCAGGCAGUGUCAAUGCCACAGGCCUCAGUAGUUGGCGCAGGUUGGCAGGCACGGCAGGGCUCAGGGCACGCAGUGUCAGGAGACAGCCGUAGCCAAGGCGCAUGUCCACGUGAUGUUUCUCAAAGAAGCCACUGCCAAGGAGCUGGGGGUGGGUGGGGUCGACGGUGCUGGUACUUCGGGAAGCUUCCUGGUACAGUGGGGCAUAGAGGUGGCGCAGUUUGGCCAAGCGCUGGCCCAGGGCAGAGAGUAAGCCAAGGGGCAAGUGCUGAGCUGCUUCUAACAGGAGCCAGGCACCACCCUGCAGGGCACCGUUCAGGUAAUUGCUCAGGCUUUGGGCCUCUAUCUGAGGCAAGCAGGGCACCACCACCAGCUGGCGCCCCAGGGCCUGCGCUAGCGUCUUCACCAUAGCUGCCUUGCCCACACCAUCAGGGCCCAGUAGGGUCCCACAGGCCACCUCUUCCAGGGCCAAUAACAGCACUAGGGCCGGCCGCUCAGGAAGCAGGCUGGGUAGAGACCCCAGUCUGGGACCCAGGUACUCGUAAUUGUACAGGAAAGACCGACCCAGCACAUCUAUCCAGCAUGCAGCUGGUGACAGAGAAGUCUCAGUAGGUGCGAGAGACUUGGGACUCUGCAGGGGGCUUUGGGGAGUGGUGUGGGGUGAAGCCAGGCGGUACUUGAGUUGGCGGGCCCAGUGGAAGUCCGUCAGAUCACUGACCUGGCGCUCCUGCAGCAGCUGUGCUAUAUCCCGGUGAGCCACUGUCAUGACCAACAGGGCACUGAGCAGGCUGGUCUGGCGGACAGAGGGCAGGGGCUGCUCACCCUGAGAGGCCCUCCGGGCCCGCAAAAAAUUCACCAGUACGUCAAGCUUGCGCACGUGCAUGGGGACCGCGGCCAGGGCCUUCCCUUCAAGCAGAGCCUCCUCCAUGUUGGCCCGCCAUACCACCUCCUCUGCCACCAGGACACACUGCCACGGGAAGGCCUGGACUAGGUCCAGCCAGUGCUGGACAUACAUCUGCGGGGGCGACUGGCUCUGCUGGGGCAGCUGCCUGAAGGCCUUGUCUAGGGACGGGCCCAGAGCAAGACGGGCAGCCACACAGUCCUGCAGCAAGUGCACCAGGGCCAGACGCAGACCCUGCUCCAGGGAGGCCAGCCACCUGGGGAGAUCUGAAUGCAGAGGAAGGGACCCCGGCAGCUUCACCUCCUCCCCACCUGCACCGAGCACUGCAAGUGCCUCCAACUGAGUCUGUGGGCUUGGGCUUGACUCCCGGUCAUCCGUGUUUCUAUCAGUUCGGCUGGACUUGAAGCUCACGGCAUGCACGUGAGGAAAACAGCGUCGUGCCCAUAGCUGGGCCUCACAGGAUUCCAGCGGGGCAGCUAGCAGGGCCACCAGCUCACUGCCACUGAGGAAGAAGAGGCGGGGGAAGUGAGCACAUACGGCAUAGAGCACGCUCUCCAGAGCCACGAUGAUGCCCUCCAGCUCCACGGAGCCCGCUUGCAACAGCUGUUGCAGCUGCUGGCCUUGGAAAGAAGGGCUCCGCUUGGCACUGGGCACUAUAAGUGACAGAACCAGGGGGUCAGCUACAGAGAUCCUCAUCAGGGUCCGAUACUGUUCGUCCAUGGCCUCGAAACGGGAGCGCUGUGGUGAGAGAGAAGGUAAGAGUGAGGGCGGCAUCCCCCUCCCGCCCUGAGCCCCACUGUCCAGUAGCACUUGUCCACCCUGCCACACACCCCCUUCCCUACCAGGUCAGAACUAGGAAACUGGAUCUUCAUCUCAUGCAGAACUUUAUUCAAAAAGAUCCACUUCUGCUGGAAAGUCACCCACACCUGCAGCAGGGCACCUGUGAGAAGCAGCCAGGGGAACACUGGAGGGAGACUAGGGUUCCAGCUUCUGCAAGGGGGUCCAGCCUGCUCCUGCCCUCUUGGGAUGCCCCACUCCCAAAAAACUCUGCUCAGCAGGACCCAGGGACCUUGCUCGAAGGAGAGAAAACCUGCAGCGUGAAUAAAGACCUGGUCACUUCAGCCCAAGAAGUGGCCCUGAAGGAGGUCCUCACUCUGUCCUCACCCACCCCCGACCCCUCUCCCCAUCUUUCUGGGCCAUCUCACCUCAGGACCCACCCGUCAGCCCAGCUAGAGGCCUGCACUCACUCAGGCCAUGCAUGAUAGUCACCCACUCCAAAGCCAUUUUGUUUAAGUCUCCUGACUUCUGGGUGGCCAGGAACUUGAACAACACCUGAAGACUUUCCUGGACAGAAUCCUGCAGGUUGCUGUAAUCUAAGGAAGAGUGGGCUCGAGCUGAGCUGAGCUGGCAGUCAGAUGGGGCAAGGGCAGGGGUGACUGAUACCCAAAAUACACUGAAACUCACAGAUCUCAAACUACUCUCUAGAAGACACAAACUUUUUUGCUUCUACUAGUCGCACCUAGUAUGCUCACCAAGAGUCAGAGUGUGUUUGCAAACUUGUUUACGUGAGUUCCGUUUGUGUGAGUUAUAAUUUUAAUUACAGAAUUUAAUCUUGUAUCAUGUUAACCACUGAAAUAUGGGUGGCAAAAUAGUUGCUGGUUCUAUGGAAACUCUGGAAGGGCUUCAGUAAGCCAAUAAAAACAUGAUAUUAAAUUAGAUAUGGGCAAGGCGAUUUUUUAAGAUUGUGAAAUUAUAAUAAAAAUCUAGAAAAGUUCUGGAUUCAGAUAGCUUUACAAGUGUCCUCACGUCCCUUCUCCACUUUACAGAAACUGAAAGUGGAAAUAGCAGAUGACGUAUUAACGCAAGAAAGGCAGUGAGGAGCUUCUAUCUCUUGACUGCAAAUCAAAGAAAACCUCGUCUUUAGAUUAAAAGGAAAGAGGGUCAAGGAGAUCCCAAGGUGUGACUUAGAAGGAGAGAAUGCAGAGGCUUCUUCCAUGGAAUAGGGGAAGCCAAGGGCCCUAACAGUCUAGAUGGACAGUUCAUUGAAGUUGUGUUUUGAAGACCUCACCUGCUAAUAUGGAGUAGCCCAACUCCAAAGUGGGGCACGGCAAAGAGCAGAUGCUUCUCUAGGAAAGUCCGGUGCCGGUGCAGCCUCUGCGACUUCACACCCUUCUUCCAGCUACAGAUCAGAGGGCAGUGACAGUGGCUGUUGCUCUUUAUGACACUUCUUCCCAAAUCCCAUACCCGUCAUCACCUACCAGGCCAAGGUCUUGCGUAAGAGGAAAUACUUGAAGAACGGAAUGAACUGGAGCUGUUGCCAGAGGACAGAGCGGUGGUGCCAGGCCCAGCGCUGCUCUGCUGUGUCUAGGACACCUACAGAGUGCCGAGAUUCAAGGGCUUUAGAUGACGCCUCUUCAUCCGAGACCAAGAGGAGCCAGGCAUUCAACUGCUGUCGAACUGACCCUGCCCACUGCUCAGGAUCCGACUGCCAGUUCCAGGUUCCUGGUUGCUGGAUCUCACCUGCUUAGUUCAGCCCAAGAGAGGGCAAGAGAAGGGGGCUUAGGCUCUGGGCAGGGUCAAAGGGAUUGGGAGAAAGGGGAAGGGAGGGACUUAGGACAGGAAAAUGGAUGGAGCUGCAGGACAGAGCUAGACCAGCAGAGGGCCUUUCCUGAGACCCUCAACCGACCCCACAGAUUCCCCCCAAGACUGCUAAAAAGCAGGCCCAGGACAGAGGUAGGGCCCUCCCUGCACAAAAGUCCCUUCCCACUGCCCAGAACACUGUCCCCUCACCUGGCCUAAGGGGCACAGGAGGCAAGGGAAGGGAAGAGAUUGGUAUCUGCUGGUGAGGUUUCAUGGGGAAGUGCCUGCUGGAAAAAUGGAUGAACUUAGACUUGGGUCCUAGGCACAGGCUCGCUCUACUCACAGCCACCUCCACCCAGAGACUCGCACACACACGUGUGAUCACUUGUAGACACACACACACCGAAAGGGCUCACUCAGAGGACCUUAGAACAGCAGGGAACUGUCACUGGGAUUGGAGCCUGGCGAUCGCCUGAAGGGAGGAACAGGUCGUCACUCAGAGGCAGCAAAGCCCCAGUCCCAUUUGCCUAUGGGCUGAGGGAUGUGUCGAGGACAGAAAGCAGAGGGGUGGGUACAGAGAACUACUUGGUUGGAUGGAGUGGGGCGCGGGGUAGACCGGAGAGGGCCGGGCUGGAAGGAGGAGGAAAGAAGGAAGAGGAGGGGAGGAAAGGGAGGGGAGGAGGGUCCGUAGGAGCGCAGGAGAAGGGGACACGCCUGGGGGCAGUGGCGAGAGUGGGUGUCUCGGGGGUGGUGCGGGGAGCGGUGCGAAAGGAAGCUGAUCCCCAGCAGCAGACUCACCCGCAGCCCCACCCCCUCCCAGCGGUUACAACAGUUACUGGAUCGCUUGAGGCCCGAGCCUCCUUUGAGAGCCCGGGGCGAAACCAGAAAGGGGCGGGGCCUAGGGGGGAGGGGCCGAGCCCAGGCCAAACCUACAGGCUGCCUGCCGGCCUUGGGAACAGGCCGUCUGACCGGUUGGGUCUGGAAAAGAGCUACGUGGUUGAUUUGGGGAAGUCGCAAUCCUGAGGGCGUCGUGGGCAGGUGUAAUGCACGUGCCUGUUUAUCUAUUACUGAGCCUGUAAGCUGCCACGGGCACCAGCAAGCAGUCUUUGGGACACUCCCCAACCCGACACACACUCGCACGUAUCUGCCUAGCCCACCUCACCCCCUGCAAAAAACCCAAACAAGACAAACUCCUUGAUCACAGGGAGCUCAAAAUUGGGGUUGGAGGUGGGGGGAACGCCUGAAUGAUUACAAUGGAUAUAGAAACUCAGCACGUGAUAGAGUCCCACCUCUGCUUUAUAAAUCUGAUAAGAAUCCCAAACUUAAAAUGUCCAAAACCAGACUCCUAACUGCCUCCCUUCCAAAUAAACCUGUUCCUUUCACUGUCUUCCCCAUUUCAGUGAAUACCCAGUCCAUUUUUCCAGUUGCUUGGGUCAAAAUUUAGCGUCACCUUUGACUCCCCUCUCCCCCCACACACAUCCCAUGUCUAAUGCUUUAGCAAAUUUUGUUAAGCUAUAGCUUCAAAAUAUAUCCAAAAUCCAACUAUUUCUCACCACCCUAAGAGCUAAACCUUGGUCUAGGCCACUAUCACCUCUCACCUAGAUUAUUCCAUAGACUUCUAACUGGUCUCUGUUUCCUCCCUUGCCCCUACAAUCUGCUCUUUUCAGAGCAGCCAGUGACCUUUUUCAAAUACAGGCAGAUCCUAUGACUCCUCUGCUCAAAACUCACUAAUGCCUUAUCAUCUCAUUCCCUCAGGAAAGCCGAAGUCCUACACAGCCUACAAUUUGCUAUCUCAUCAGCUGGCUGCUACCUCUGUGGCCUUUUGACCAUCUAUCCCUAUUCACACCACUCCUCUGUGCCUGGAUCACACUGAGCAUGCUCCCACCCCCCACCCCCCGCCAGAGCCUUCAUACAGUACAUCUCUGCUUACGGUUCAUUUAGAAAACAGAGAAGUUUUCUGUGGCUGUGUAACCAAUUGCCACAAACUAAGCAGCUUUAAAACAACAUCCAUUUAGUAUCUCACAGUUCUGUACAUCGAUGCCCAGCAUGGCCUGACUGGGUUCUCUGCUCAGGAUAUCAUAAGCCUGAAAGGUCAGCUGGGCUGAGCUCUUGUCUGGAGGCUCUGGGGGAAAAUCCUCCUCCAAGCUCAUUCUUGUUGUUGACAGGAUUCAGUUUCUUGCGGUUGUGGGACUGAGGUCCCUGUUUCCUCCUGGGCCUCAGGGGCCACUCUCAGGUCCUAGAGGCCACCUGUCUUCCUUGCCAUAUGGCACCUUCAUCUUCAAACCAGCAACAGUGCCUCAAAUCCUUCUUAUGUUUCAAAUCUUUCUGACAUUCUCUUCUGCAACAAGCCAGAGAAAACUCCCUGCUUUUAAAAAGUUCAUGUGCUUAGGCCAGGCCCACCCGGAUAAUCUCCCUUUCUUACAGUCAAGUAUGUCAUAUAAUACAACCUAAUCACAGAAGUAAAAUCUGUCAUAUUCACAGUCCUAGGGAUUAUACAGGGUGUGUACACAGGGGGUGGGAAAUCUUGGGCACCAUGUUAACAUUCUACUACACAUAUGCUGUAAUAACAAAAAGACCCCAAAAAUACGAUGGCUUAAACAUAAUAGAAGCUUACUUUUUCUCUCACACGACUGUCCAGGAAUAAGUACUCCAGGGCUAAUAUGGCAGCCUUUUAGUUGUUCUGCCUUCUUCAAGGAAGUGGUCCUUAUCUUCAAGGUCCAAGACAGUUCCCCACCAUGUGUGUUGGGCCCCAUCCCAAGUAGUGAGAUGGGGGAAAGAGUAGGAGAAGGCCUACCCUUUCCCUUAAGGGCACCACCUGGCAAUGCAUGCAUCACUCAAUCACAUGGACACACCUAGCUGCAAGGAAAGUUGCAAAAUCUGAUCUUUAUUUUCAGCCACCAUCUGCCCAGGUUAAAGUCAGGGGUUCUAUUAGUAAAGGAAGAAGGGGACAAUGGAUGCUAUGGGCAAGUAGAGGCUGAUGCCACAGUGAACACUUUUUCCAGAUGUCCACGAGGCUUCCUCCCUCAUUUCAAGUUUCUGCUUAAGGAGACCUCAUUAGUGAGUUCUUCUCUGACAACCUAGCCUAAAAUAGCAACACUGUCCCCAGCUUCCUUAUCCUUCUUACCCUGCAUUGAUUUUCCCCAUAGCACUUAUUACCAUCUCAUAUCAAUACUUACUUAACUGCUUACUGUCUGUCUCCCCUGACUAGAAGUAUAAGCUCCACGGUGAGGGUUUCUGACUGCUCUCUGUUGUACCCCCAGCCUCUAGUGCUAGGCACCAUGAGUAGAUGAUCAGAAAAUAUUUGUGGAACAAAUGCAUAAAUGUAUAGCAAGCAAUCGUCGUUAGUGAGAAAGAGGACAGACUCUGGAAGUCACACCGACUGGAUUGAAAACCUGACUCCACCACUUGCUAGUCAUGGGAUAUUUGACUGCAAUUUUAUUUUUUUGUGUAAAAUGAAGAUAACAGUAGUACCUACUUUACAGGGUUGUUGUGAGAAUUAACUGAGUUAAUGUAUAUAAAAUGCUUAGACUAGAGCCUGGUAGAUAAUACACACGUGAUAUAACUGAUCUGUGUGAGCUAUGUGCUUUUGUUGUUGUUUAUGGCACUCUACCAAGUGCUGUGGACGUAAUGGUGAACGAGACAUAAAAGGGUUCAAUGAGGGCACAAAUAAGAAUCCUUCCUGGAAAGGGCAAGGAAGAGUUACAGGUAGGCCUUAAAGUUUUAGGCCUUAAAAUAAUAGUUUUUUCCAGUUAUAGAUUAUGGGGAUAUAAUACACAGAGGAGGGAAUACAGUCAAUAAUAUUGUAAUAACUUUAAAUGGUGACAGAUGGUGACUAGACUUACUGUGGUGGUCAUCUCAUAAGGUAUAUAAAUGUCAA